GGCGCCGUGGCUUAGUUGGUUAAAGCGCCUGUCUAGUAAACAGGAGAUCGGGGGGUUCCGAAUCCCCCCGGGGCCU